GGGGGCACGGGGGGCCUACGGGAGGCAGCAGUGGGGAAUUGUUCGCAAUGGGCGCAAGCCUGACGACGCAACGCCGCGUGGAGGAUGAAGAUUUUCGGAUCGUAAACUCCUGUCGAAUGGGACGAAAAGAUUGCGGGUUAACAGCCCGUAGUCCUGACGGUACCGUUAAAGGAAACCCCGGCUAACUCCGUGCC
rnacentral:rRNA from 1 species